GCGCCCGUAGCUCAGCUGGAUAGAGCGACGGACUUCUAAUCCGUAGGUCGCAGGUUCGAGCCCUGCCGGGCGUA
rnacentral:tRNA from 3 species